rnacentral:rRNA from 1 species
GUGCCAGCAGCUGCGGUAAUACGUAGGGUACGAGCGUUGUCCGGAAUUAUUGGGCGUAAAGAGCUCGUAGGUGGUUGGUCACGUCUGCUGUGGAAACGCAACGCUUAACGUUGCGCGUGCAGUGGGUACGGGCUGACUAGAGUGCAGUAGGGGAGUCUGGAAUUCCUGGUGUAGCGGUGAAAUGCGCAGAUAUCAGGAGGAACACCGGUGGCGAAGGCGGGACUCUGGGCUGUAACUGACACUGAGGAGCGAAAGCAUGGGGAGCGGAACAGGAUUAGAUAACCCUGGUAGUCCAUGCCGUAAACGUU